rnacentral:misc_RNA from 1 species
UCGAACCGUCGACACGAGCUGUUGCUGGCCUUCGAAAGGGGGCACGUGCACGCUCUGUUUACACAUCCACUCACACCUGUGCACCCUCUGUAGUUCUAUGGCCUCGGGGACCCCGUCUCCCUGCUGUGGUCCUACGUCUUUACACACACACCGUAACAAAGUCUCAUGGAAUGCAUGCCGCGUUUAACGCAAUACAAUA